UGGGAUCCCGCCUGGACCCGACUGCGUGAGAGGAGCCGCGCCGGCCGGGGGUGGAAGGGGGCACGCCGGCGUGGUGGUCCCCCGACCGUGGGGAGGAGGCCCGCCGGCCUUGGGGGUUGGAGCUGUGAGGGAGGAGGCGCGCGACAGUGGGGAUGGCGGCGGCGGGGAUCAGGGACAGAGUGAGGGAGAGGUGGGGAACGUGGGAUUCGGGGGUGGG
rnacentral:rRNA from 1 species